AUCUCCUCCGGACUGGUUUAUCAGCCUCAUGAGUGUGAACAACCUGCUUCAAAUCCUGAACACGAACAUGAACUUCUGGUUCUAUGCAGGAAUGAACAAGAACUUCCGAACAGGACUCAGAUCUCUCCUCUCAAGAUUUACAGUGGUAUCUUCGGAGCUGGGCGCUGCAGUGGAGGUUUAAAAACAUUCUUUCAUCAAACAUUUUAAUUAAAAAAAGAGAAGAAAUAAGAAUCUUACUCUUUCUGUUGUCCAAAUGUUGUACGCGAAAUAUAUUGUCAUUUUUAUGACGAAAAAUAGUUACUUGUAAAGCCAUUGCACGUCAAAUAACGUAAAUUGCACCUCAAAUAAAGUAAAUUGCACGUCAAAUAAAGUAAAUUGCACGUGAAAGUAAAAGCUAUUAUAUGGCAUUCUAAGAAAAGGUAUUGAGAAGAACUAAAAAUAUUUGAUUGUGUUUUUCUCAUAUCUAUAAUCUUAAAAUGAAAACUUGAGGAUCUACGAGGUCUCAAGAUCGUAGUUAACUCUGUUUAAUGCCCGCUUUAAACAUAAUUAUAGAUUGCCUAGCUACAACUUUGAUACCGAAAAUAUUCGCGGAUUUCUAGAGCACAGACAAGCAAAAACGUGGCCGAAAAAAGUUGUUUAAAAAGCCAUUAAUAAGCAAAGAUUAAUGUCUAU